AUUAUUACAUUAAUAUCAGGGACCUCAAUCAAAAACUAAAAACUAACAAGGUUUCAAUCAAAGAAUAUUGAUAGAUAGAGACCGCAUCCAAAGUGUCCCAUUAUUUUAUCAUAUAUCAAACAUAAAUGACGUGAUGUUCUAUUUUUUUCUCUGGCCAAUAAAACGAAAGAAAAUCAUAUAUAUGAUGAAUUGAAAAGAGAUCCAAUUUGACCUAAAUGACUCCUAACUUGAAUUUUUAGUCUAAUACUAAGUUAUUUUUAAGGUUGGAAUAGGGUUUAAGUUUCUUUAUUAAACACAGAUUUUUAGUUCGUUGAGCAAUUUAUUAUAGUCAAUUAGGAUACAAUAAAAAGAGUGCUGGGAGGUUAAUCAUGUUGGAUGAUUGCUUUUGUGAGAAAUGAUAAGCGCAUCAUUUUUCUCUUUAUCCACACUCUUUUUGGUUUCUAGCAAUCAUAUUGAAUAAAUCAUACGAAAAUAAUGAAUAAAAUUAAAUAAAAAUAUGUAGCAUAAGAAAAGAGUGCGUAGUUGUCAUUUUCUCGUUUUAGUACUAAUAUUAGAUUCCUCUUGAAUUUUUUGUCUAAGUGACUUGAUUGAUUUAUAAUAUUGGUGUCAUAUGCUGAUUUGUCUUAAUUAGCUACUACAUGCAUGCAUUUUCAUGUAACACCAAACACAACUUUGCUUGCUAAUGGAAAAAGGUUCACAUUUCAUAUCAAGAAGAGAAGUCUCACUACUUUUAAGUACACCCAACAUUUGCUUGCAAGUCACACAUGCAUUGCAGCUAGUGGCUUUGACCGUUUAACGUUAAAUUUGUUUAAAUAUCAACAUAAUUAAGAAUGACAAUGUUUAGCAAUUGCGGUCAUGUCAGUCCUAUGAUCCAUAGCAUGACAAUAUCACAGACAUAUACCAAAUUGGUAUAGUUUAUGUUCUCAAUUAGGACUAUAUUUGUGUAUGUUAAAAUAAUUUUAGAGCUUGCAAUAAGAUCGUCAAGAAGAUUCGCCACGUUUAAUUAGAAAAGAAAAUGAGUCCAUUUCACAUGGGAGGAGUAUCAAGCGUUUCCUCUGGGUUCUCAGUAAUCAUUUCACAUGUUUUAGAAAAAAAAUGAAAGAACCAAAUAUUAGUUCACCGAUGAGAACAUGAAUUAAAAUAAAUUAUAAGCCUAGCUAGGUUAUAGUUUAAAUCCGAUUCUGUAAAUUAAUAUUCUCCCAAUUCUUGUGGAAUAGGCCCUGUAUUAGAGGCUUUAAAACAUGAUCCAUGCAUGUGGUUUAUGUUGAGAAUGAGUUCCACAUUGAUGGGAGAAGGAACCUUGCAUGAACUUAUAAGAGGUUGGGUUACUUCUCAUAUUGCUAAUUGAUUUUAUAGUAGAAACUCAACUUCCUUCAUGGUAUCAAAGCAGGUUGUCCCACAUGUGAAGCCAAAUGGCCACACGCGCUCCACGUCACCCUAUUGUGUCGUCCACGUGUUAGGCUUGAAAAUUAGCCACACAUGAGGGGACGUGUUGAGAAUGAGUCUUACAUUGAUGGGAGGAGAGACCUUGCAUGGGUUUAUAAGAGGUUGGGUUACUCUCCAUAUUGUCAAUUAGUUUUAUGGUAGAACCUCAACUUUCUUUACCUAUUAGUUUUAUGAUGGAACUUCAACUUUCUUGAGUUUAGACUGUACGUAUUAUCAGCAUAAUCAUACAAGAAAUGCUGGUGUAAAAUUAAAAUAGCCCAGAAAAUUAAUUACGGAAAACAAAGGACAAUGAUGUUUAGUUAUUUUUAACCUAGUUUCCAUUUAAAAGAUGUACAGAUACUAGGUUAGGCAAAUCCAUUAUCCCCUUAUUAAGAAAUUGGGAAAGAGAACUUGUACACACCAUCUAAUAGCAUAGUCUGUUUUAUCUGACUCUCAAGAUUACCUUAAAAUUUUUGCUAGCGACUGUUGUUAUGCGCGUGAGUGACUCUAGUAUCUAAGGAUUAUAGAAUCCGAGACCACACUUGCGUGAAGAGAUAGAAGUGAGAGUCAUCAACUUGCGUGGACCGGUGUCCCAACCACUCUUUAUGAUAAUGGAUAUGAAAUUUGAAACUCACUUCAUAGGUUAAAUUUAAUUUAUCUUCUUCAACUUAAUUUUGAAUUGGGCACAUGAAUGUGAAUUCAAUCAAAUUCUAAAUUGGAAUUGACGCUCAGUCAUUACUAAAAGGGUGAAAUUUGGAGCAGCAAGUAGGGAUUAUCUUGUUAGGUAGUCAUUUAUGGUGUUGAAGUUGAUGGUAUUGGUAUGAGUCGUAUAGAUAUGUGAGGAACGAGGGACCAAAGACUUGACAAUUUGGUACAAAUAAUAUAUGGUGGCCUCAAUAUUUUCAUGAGAGGUCUGUUUCUUUAGAGGGGUCCAUACUUAUAUAUAUAUGGUUAUCCGAAUUCGCUUUAUCCGUGUGGUCAUUCAUCAUCAAUUAUUAAAGCGUAAUAUUCUUCUUAAACUUUGGAUCCCAAACCUUACCAACGUACACUACUUCAUAAACCACAUCUUAGCUCGACUAUAUAUCACUUGCUCAAUUAAUACAUUCCAAGCCGUGCUUACUUAUUCAGCAUAUUUGUUUUGGGAGAAAACAAAUUCAUUCAAUAGUUCUUGUUUAUGAAACCCUUGAUCUCAGAAAUUCCCUCGUUCCGUCAUACAAACUAAAAUUAAGUGUCACUAAACCAAGUAAACAAUGACGCUUAAUUGAUAAUUUGAUUACAUCUAAGUAAGAGUUCGCGACCAUUAAAAACACAAUUCAACGUCGUAAUUAUGAUAUAUAAACAUUAUCUGGAAAAGUUGAAUCUGUCAAUCCAGCAAUGAUGUGGAAGUUCUAUCACUUUAAAAGCAAGCUAUCAUGGUAGAAAUUUCAUUAAUAUAGUCGAUCAAUCACGUAGUCUCUUAAUUAUUUUAUUGAACAAUCACAAAGUCUUCAUGCAAUAUAGGUUGUUAAGGAAGUGUCUCAUCUAAAAGUUAUUCCACAAAUGUUUCGAGAAAUAUAUGAAAUCAUAGAUUGGACAAAGAUAAAUUCAUGUAUGCAUGCAAGGUACAUAUGAUCCAUAUUCCUUUAAAAUGGACAUAAAUUCAUGUUGUGCUUAUUUAAUUUGGUCUGUCAGCAUAUGAUGAUUGGGGAGAUUAAAUUAGAAAAUAAAAUGGACAUAAAUUAGCACUGUAAUUUUGGUUUAAUUAUACUCCAUUUGUUUAAUUAAUGCUCAAAUUAAUAAACCAUUAUUAACCUGCUUUUAGGUGCUGUGGACUAUGGGAUCCGCUAAUUAUAACUUCUAUGAAUAGCACAACAAAUGGAAUGUUAAAAAAAGGAGUCACUUCUUAAUACAUUAAUAGAGAGAUCCAUGAAUAAAAUGGAGUAGGAUUUUCUCCCCUCAUAUUAGUCAUCUCCUUCCAUUCCCUCCUCUCACAUUCUUCUUUUUGUCUUAUUCUCUAUAUAAAAAAUUCAAAACAAGAUGUAGACAUGACGUAAUCAUAACUGUUUAAAUAGGAGAGGAUGGAAGGGGAAGGAGAUUAGGAGGGGAGAGAAUCCAACUCCAAAUAAAAUACAAGGAUCAUAUACAAACUACAAAAAUGAGUUAUCCAUUUUUGAACUCUCCAAAAUACACAAUGUUUUUCUUUUUCAUAAGAACAGAUUGCGUUAAGGGUAGCAAUUUUUACACUCUUUAAUUCUUUUAACUGUUUGAACUUCAAGUUAAAUAUCUUGUAAACUUCUAUGAACUUGCGUACAAAAUUCUACAAUAGUGCACCAGCCUUUUACUAAUUAUAGAUGGAGGAGUAUCUAACCAAGUACAAUCAUUACCACAAUGGAGAGCAAAACGAGUUAAUCGAUGAGCAACUGAGUUAGCUUGGCGACUGAUGUGGGCAACACAAGCUUCAACGACCAUAGACAGCAGGUGCUUUACAUCUUCUAUAAUAGGUCUCAUGUGCGACAUAUUAGUAGAAGAGUCAUGCAACACCGAGACGAUCUGAAGCGAAUCAUUCUCGAAGUCGAUCAUAUUUAAGCCUUAUUCAACCGCAGUCUCAAGCCCAACUCUAAUUGCCAGCGCCUCCACUUGGAUAGGAAAGCAAACAUCUUCAAAUAUUCUAGAGACAACACCCAAACAUUUCCCCUCCGAGUCCCUAAAAACCACCCGUACACCGCCUACCUUGUUUUACUUAUUGACACAACGGAAGUUACAAGAAAAUGGAUCACGAACGGUCACCCUUAGAUAGAAUCUGGAACACCAGAAGCUUGGGAGAAUUAAUCUCGAUUUUUAUUCAAUGGGGAAUCAAAAGCCCCUAACAAUACGCCAAGAAGGUGUAUUUAUAGUGUGAAAUCCCGUCCCCGGAAUUUCACUAUUCAUUAUGUAUCUUGUAAUUUAAGUUCGUAUUUCACGUCUACGUUAUUUUGAUUACUUAAUUUUAAUUCGUAAAUUUUGGGAAUUAAAUCGAAUAGUUAUCGGGUUUGAAUUUUCGAAAUCAAUCUUUAUCUUUUGUUGACUUUUCGAAGUUUUAACUAGUGUUUUUAAAUAGAUCUCAAACCCACGAACGCAUAGGCGAAAGCCGUUUGCGAGUCCGAAUUAUAACGGUAUAGUUACGGACGUUUGAAGUUGUGAACUAUAGAUUGUGGGAAUUAUUUAAUUCCCACAUGUGGGUUAAGGGAAGUUAGUUUAAAAAGGGAAAUGGACCAAUUAGAGGGGAGAACUCUAGAAGCGGGAGGAUGGCAGCAGGGGAGAGGAAGAAAAGAAGAGAUGCGGGAAAGAAGAG
rnacentral:lncRNA from 1 species